AGCUCCAAUAGCGUAUAUUAAUGUUGUUGCAGUUAAAAAGCUCGUAGUUGGAUUCCUGGCCUGGGGUAGCCGGUCCGCCUUGCAAAAGGUGCGCACUGUGCGGCCUCGGCCAUCCUUGAGAAGAGCUGUUCUGGCAUUCAGUUGUCGGGGCGGGGAUUCUCGACGUUUACUGUGAAAAAAUCAGAGUGUUCAAAGCAGGCUUACGCCUUGAAUACAUUAGCAUGGAAUAAUGAGAUAGGACCUUGGCGGUCUAUUUUGUUGGUUUGCACGCCGAGGUAAUGAUUAAAAGGGACGGUUGGGGUUCUUCGUAUUCAAUUGUCAGAGGUGAAAUUCUUGGAUUUAUGGAAGACGAACUGCUGCGAAAGCGUCGAACAAGGACGUUCUCAUUA
rnacentral:rRNA from 1 species